UACGUAGGGGGCAAGCGUUGUCUGGAUUUAUUGGGCGUAAAGAGCGUGUAGGCGGCCAGACAGGUCCGUUGUGAAAACUCGAGGCUCAACCUCGAGACGCCGGUGGAAACCGUAAGGCUAGAGUCCGGAAGAGGAGAGUGGAAUUCCUGGUGUAGCGGUGAAAUGCGCAGAUAUCAGGAGGAACACCCGUGGCGAAAGCGGCUCUCUGGGACGGUACUGACGCUGAGACGCGAAAGCGUGGGGAGCAAACAGG
rnacentral:rRNA from 1 species